rnacentral:rRNA from 1 species
GAUGAACGCUGGCGGCGUGCCUAAUACAUGCAAGUCGAACGCUUUGUCUUUAAUUGAUAUGAAGAGCUUGCUCUGAUUUGAUUUUAUCUGACAAAGAGUGGCGAACGGGUGAGUAACACGUGGGUAACCUACCUCUUAGCAGGGGAUAACAUUUGGAAACAAGUGCUAAUACCGUAUAACACUAACAACCGCAUGGUUGUUAGUUGAAAGAUGGUUCUGCUAUCACUAAGAGAUGGACCCCCGGUGCAUUAGCUAGUUGGUAAGGUAAUGGCUUACCAAGGGGAGGAUGGGUAUACGAGGUGGGUGACUGAUCGGCCACAAGGGGACUGAGACACGGCCAAUACUCCUACGGGAGGCAGCAGAAGGGAAUCUUCCACAAUGGGCGCAAGCCUGAUGGAGCAACGCCGCGUGUGUGAUGAAGGGUUUCGGCUCGUAAAACACUGUUAUAAGAGAAGAACGACAUUGAGAGUAACUGUUCAGUGUGUGACGGUAGCUUAUCAGAAAGGAACGGCUAAAUACGUG